rnacentral:lncRNA from 1 species
GCCAGGCCCCGCCGCCACCCUCCGCGCUGGGACGCCGGGGCGCGGGCAUCCCUGCCGCCUACGGAUCUCUUCCCAAGCACCUAGAACUUUCCAAAGCGUGCUUGGAAUUUAACACCUUGGUCGUCGAUCCCCGCAAAUAUACUCUGAUGAGACCGGCUUUCUUCCCAUACCGCCCAGGAGUUUCUCCAGGUGGCAUUCCUGUCGCCUUGAGGUGGAACAUCAGUAGAGGCUCGAGGCUGAAGCAAGCACAAUACACAAGAGACUCCGAUUCGUACAGGAACAUUUCGAAAACAGGAAAUCCUGAGGACAAUAAUGAACAUUUGAACCUAUCUACCGAGAAGAUUCACCUCUCCUUGCCAACCACUUGGAGCCAUCAGUCCGAACCCGUCGAGACAUAAGCAUUCCAGUUCUACAGGAACUAGAUCAUUAGAGAAAAAGCAAGUCAUCUCUCUGUGAGGGAACAGUCAACCCGGCCAGGUGUAUCGUUUUCCAAAUCUUUGAGUAAACCGAAUGCUGCUCUAGGAAGAUUGCACUCCAUUGUAUUUAUCCUGCAGCUUUGUGUAACCUGUCAGCCCUGCACACCCAGCUGGUAUUUGUAUCUGGAUGAGAAGCGCAGCCUUUGGGAAGGCAGAACACUGGGGCAGAACUGGUGCCAACACCAGUCUUGGAUUGGGGUCUGUCAUUCAGGGCCUGUGAUUGAGUUUGGUACAUGCUAUGGUAUUAAGUCAAAGGAAAUCUGAGAUCUCUGAAUCAUUUACAGACACACUCCAAUUUCCUCCUGGAACAUGCAGUUGCCAUUUGGGGGCAUGGGUUGGUGAGAGGAGGGAGAAAAGGAGGGAAGAUGGGAGAGGGCACCAGGGCUGCAUGUAAAGCUCUGCCUCACACUGUCAGUUGUUUUCAGCUCACUGCAUGAACUCUGUAGAGAGGCCAGAUAAUUUCACAAAGUUUACCUUAAUUUGCAACCUACCUAGAGGAGACAUGGUCAGGCAGCUGGAUGGUGAUUCUUUUCCAGCUUGAGCUGUUGACAGAG